GAUGAACGCUGGCGGCGUGCCUAAUACAUGCAAGUCGAGCGAACAGACGAGGAGCUUGCUCCUCUGACGUUAGCGGCGGACGGAAGAGUAACACGUGGAUAACCUACCUAUAAGACUGGGAUAACUUCGGGAAACCGGAGCUAAUACCGGAUAAUAUAUUGAACCGCAUGGUUCAAUAGUGAAAGACGGUUUUGCUGUCACUUAUAGAUGGAUCCGCGCCGCAUUAGCUAGUUGGUAAGGUAACGGCUUAACAAGGCAACGAUGCGUAGCCGACCUGAGAGGGUGAUCGGCCACCCGGGAACUGAGACACGGCACAGACUCCGACGGGAGGCAGCAGUAGGGAAUCUUCCGCGAGGGGCGAAAGGCUGACGGAGCAACGUCGGGUGAAUGAUGAAGGUCUUCGGAUGGUAAAACUCUGUUAGUAGGGAAGAACAAAUGUGUAAGUAACUAUGCACGUCUUGACGGUACCUAAACAGAAAGCCACGGCUAACUACGUG
rnacentral:rRNA from 1 species